rnacentral:rRNA from 1 species
GACGAACGCUGGCGGCGUGCUUAACACAUGCCAGUCGAACGGAAAGGCCCUGCUUUUGUGGGGUGCUCGAGUGGCGAACGGGUGAGUAACACGUGAGUAACCUGCCCUUGACUUUGGGAUAACUUCAGGAAACUGGGGCUAAUACCGGAUAGGAGCUCCUGCUGCAUGGUGGGGGUUGGAAAGUUUCGGCGGUUGGGGAUGGACUCGCGGCUUAUCAGCUUGUUGGUGGGGUAGUGGCUUACCAAGGCUUUGACGGGUAGCCGGCCUGAGAGGGUGACCGGCCACAUUGGGACUGAGAUACGGCCCAGACUCCUACGGGAGGCAGCAGUGGGGAAUAUUGCACAAUAGGCGGAAGCCUGAUGCAGCGACGCCGCGUGCGGGAUGACGGCCUACGGGUUGUAAACCGCUUUCGCCUGUGACGAAGCGUGAGUGACGGUAAUGGGUAAAGAAGCACCGGCUAACUACGUG